AGCAAAAUUAAUUGCUGAUUGACACACGAUUUAACCGAUUUAACAGUGAUAUUUUCUUAUUUUGAGCGAAAAAUUUCAAAGUAACCGAUUUUUCUAAAAACUUUUAUCGCCUUGAUCUGUCACAGAAAUGCGAAUUUUUAAUUCAAGAUGUGGCGCCGUCACCCCAGCGCCUUAAAAUCGUCGAUCUGACAGCCUACUGGUUUUACGGGAGUUUAGGGUUCCUCAUUCCCGCACCCGAUGAAGCGGCCAACAUCAACGCCGUCGUCAAACCGUUUCAAUGGCCGGUUUGGUUGGGACUCGGGGUGUCCAUGGGAUGCGUCAUUGCAGUUUUGCAUUUAAUCCAGCGCUACUUGCAUUAUCGAUCGACAAUCGAUUUAAAACAAAACGAAGAAAAGAAAAGUCAGAAAAGGGGUCGGAUUGGCGUCAAGAAAUGGCAAACUGGAAAACAAUACUUCUACGUCUUCGGCAAUUUGCUAUCGCAAGGUAGUGUUUGCCUAUCGGAACGAACACCCUAUCGAC